GACGAACGCUGGCGGCGUGCUUAACACAUGCAAGUCGAACGGAAAGGCCCUGCUUUUGUGGGGUGCUCGAGUGGCGAACGGGUGAGUAACACGUGAGUAACCUGCCCUUGACUUUGGGAUAACUUCAGGAAACUGGGGCUAAUACCGGAUAGGAGCUCCUGCUGCAUGGUGGGGGUUGGAACGUUUCGGCGGUUGGGGAUGGACUCGCGGCUUAUCAGCUUGUUGGUGGGGUAGUGGCUUACCAAGGCUUUGACGGGUAGCCGGCCUGAGAGGGUGACCGGCCACAUUGGGACUGAGAUACGGCCCAGACUCCUACGGGAGGCAGCAGUGGGGAAUAUUGCACAAUGGGCGGAAGCCUGAUGCAGCAACGCCGCGUGCGGGAUGACGGCCUUCGGGUUGUAAACCGCUUUCGCCUGUGACGAAGCGUGAGUGACGGUAAUGGGUAAAGAAGCACCUGCUAACUACGUG
rnacentral:rRNA from 1 species